rnacentral:rRNA from 1 species
GACGAACGCUGGCGGCGUGCUUAACACAUGCAAGUCGAACGGUAAGGCCCUUCGGGGUACACGAGUGGCGAACGGGUGAGUAACACGUGGGUGAUCUGCCCUGCACUUCGGGAUAAGCCUGGGAAACUGGGUCUAAUACCGGAUAGGACCACUGCCUGCAUGGGUGGUGGUGGAAAGCUUUUGCGGUGUGGGAUGGGCCCGCGGCCUAUCAGCUUGUUGGUGGGGUGAGGGCCUACCAAGGCGACGACGGGUAGCCGGCCUGGGAGGGUGACCGGCCACACUGGGCCUGAGAUACGGCCCAGACUGCGACGGGAGGCAGCAGUGGGGAAUAUUGCACAAGGGGCGCAAGCCUGAUGCAGCGACGCCGCGUGAGGGAUGACGGCCUUCGGGUUGUAAACCUCUUUCAGCACCGACGAAGCGCAAGUGACGGUAGGUGCAGAAGAAGGACCGGCCAACUACGUGCCAGCCGCCGCCGUAA